AUAAACAUGAGCCAUUGCUCUCCCCUCCCUCGUCGAUCACUACUCUCUCUACCUCUGCAGAACUCCCCUCCUCCUGCAAAAACAAAGCUUAAUUUCUUUUCUUUACAUUUAAUAUUAUUUAGGCUGGUAGUUUAGGAUGCAUAAUUAGAUUAGGAUGUGGAAUUAGAUUAGGUUAUGUAAUUUAUAGAUUAGGUUGCAGAAUUAGAAAUAGUUAUAUAUAAUCUAUAUUGUUUAAAAAUAAUAAUUUGAAUUUCUUUUAUUUGUAGGAACAUUUAAUUUGGGUCAUUUUCCAGGUCUGGAAGCCGUCCCGGACUCUUAGUCGUCCCAGAGAGCUCCAUCACCGCUGAUGCGCCUCUAUCCCCUGCAGUCGGAGUUAAUCUCUAUUUGAUGGUGCCUCCAGAUGCACCUUACAUUUGAUAUACCGUCGAAGAUCUUCUCUCCCAGCCAGGACAAGAAGGAAUAGAGGUUUGGGAUGUUUGGGAUGGUCUCGUCCGCUAUUGGACCACCCCACACUCGAUCCGAGUUGGCAUGCAGUGCUUCUCUUCCCAUAUGACAAGGAAUCUGGACGGUCAAUUGCCAAUGAAUCACUCUACCUACCAGACAUCCCACGUUGGUGUCUAUCUACAGACUAAGGAGACUAGCAUUUAUUUCUCUACUUUUUGAGGCUACACAGUGCUAGACUCAGCCGAUGCAGCAGUCUCUGGAUGGGUUAUCCUUCCAGUUGUUUACACAAGAGGUGGAGAGGAUUUUCGAGGAGGUUAACCUCCCAAAAAAGGACAACACUAAAAAGAUGAUGUGUGAACGAUAUCCCGAGGACGAUACGUCUUAUUCCCAGAGACGGGAUGAGAAUUCAGCUCAGAUGUAGGCUUAUUUGGAUGCGAUGAAAGGUUGCUUGGAAUCCGUUCGAAGGCCUCCUUGACAUGUUUUCCAUCGGAAACCUGAAUAUAGGUUAUAUGGUAGAGCUUAGGCGGUGUAAUCACUGGAUUCCAGAUCCACCACGCCAUAUGAAGGAGGAAGUAGAUUUAGAACAAAGAGCCGACGUCAACAGCUCAGAGGCACGACAAAGGUGGUGGUAACUUGGAAAUUACAUGAUAUAAUGAUUGGAGAAACUUUUCAGCAAGGCUAAAAGAACAUGAAGUUUCUCAUGAUCAUGUUAUAUCUAUGACAUGUUGGAGAGAGUUGGAGUUGAGAUUUAAAGAAAAUCAGACAAUUGAUAAAGAUGCUCAAGAAGAAUUAAACAGAGAAAAUCCACCGGAGAGAAGUAUUGUUGAGAUUAUUUGCAGUGGUGAAACCUCUAGCUCAAAGAAACUUGGCGUUUCAGGGAGAUAAUGAAAAACUUGGUGAAGCGAAUAAUGGAAAUUUUUUGGGUCUUAUUGAGAUGAUUGUAGAGAUUGAUGCAGUAAUGAGAGAGCAUGUUAGACGAAUUGAGAAAAAGAAAAUCUAUGUGCAUUAUCUCAGUCACAUGAUUCAGAAUGAAAUGAUUGAGAUGCUUUCUAAGGA